rnacentral:rRNA from 1 species
UCCAGACUCCUACGGGAGGCAGCAGUGGGGAAUAUUGGGCAAUGGGCGCAAGCCUGACCCAGCAACGCCGCGCGAAGGAAGAAGGCUUUCGGGUUGUAAACUUCUUUUCUCAGGGACGAAGCAAGUGACGGUACCUGAGGAAUAAGCCACGGCUAACUACGUGCCAGCAGCCGCGGUAAUACGUAGGUGGCAAGCGUUAUCCGGAUUUACUGGGUGUAAAGGGCGUGUAGGCGGGACUGCAAGUCAGAUGUGAAAACCACGGGCUCAACCUGUGGCCUGCAUUUGAAACUGUAGUUCUUGAGUACUGGAGAGGCAGACGGAAUUCCUAGUGUAGCGGUGAAAUGCGUAGAUAUUAGGAGGAACGCCAGUGGCGAAGGCGACUUUCUGGACUGUACCUGACGCUGAGGCGCGAAAGCGUGGGUAGCGAACGGGAUUAGAUACCCCGGUAA